rnacentral:rRNA from 1 species
AACGAACGCUGGCGGCAUGCCUAACACAUGCAAGUCGAACGAAGCCUUCGGGCUUAGUGGCGCACGGGUGCGUAACGCGUGGGAAUCCGCCCUUUGGUUCGGAAUAACAGUUGGAAACGACUGCUAAUACCGGAUGAUGACGAAAGUCCAAAGAUUUAUCGCCAGAGGAUGAGCCCGCGUAGGAUUAGCUAGUUGGUGAGGUAAAGGCUCACCAAGGCGACGAUCUGUAGCGGGUCUGAGAGGAUGAUCCGCCACACUGGAACUGAGACACGGUCCAGACUCCUACGGGAGGCAGCAGUGGGGAAUAUUGGACAAUGGGCGAAAGCCUGAUCCAGCAAUGCCGCGUGAGUGAUGAAGGCCUUAGGGUUGUAAAGCUCUUUUACCCGGGAUGAUAAUGACAGUACCGGGAGAAUAAGCUCCGGCUAACUCCGUGCCAGCAGCCGCAGUAAAAC